GCCUUUGUGGUCUAGUGGUAUGACGUUCGCCUCACAUCUUGAAAAAGUGGACGCGACAGGUCCCAGGUUCGAUCCCUGGCGGAGGCA